AUAUAAUUAAAAAGAUAUAAUUCAUUUCUUGAUGGGUCUUCGAUUAUUAGUUAGCAAUUACGUCUGUGACCCGUGUAUUGGUAUUCAUAAUUCGAACGUGAACCAUUGAACGACCGGAUAAACUAAUUCUGAUGACAUUGACCUGAUGUCCGUGCGCAAUUUGACCUAAUGCCUGAAGCCAAGAAAUCGUCGAAUGGAACUCAUCUUAGUUGUAUGUAGCGUCAAAAAUGAAAGGCUGCCCCAGUAUCUGGUUGUCCUUGCUGCCCCGACACAGACACUAACAAAAAAGCCUCAAUUUCACUACAAAAAACAAAUCGAAACAACUCUCGCCCAGCACUGACUGCAGGGCGAAAUUAAAGGGUGGCGACUGAGGGGCGGACUGGACGGCCUAGAAGUAAGAAAACGGCCAGCAUCACAGCUCUUUCGGAUACAUCUCCAAAUGUGUCGAAACGUGCUGAGAACUCUCGUCAAGCCCAUACUGAAGGACGAUAUUAGAGGAGGGUGACUGAGGGCGGACUGGACGGCCUAGGAGUAAGAAAACGGCCAGCACCACAGCUCUUUCGGAUGCAUCCCCAAAUGUGUCGAAAUUACUCAGCUAUUGCUGUCACAUAACAAUUCGGAUUGUGAGGCAGAGGUUCCAGUAACUCCGUCUGGUGCUCCUUCAGCGAUGAACAAUUAUCACUUCAUAUCACUAUCGCAUGAAGACUCAGAAAGUAAGGCUGAGAUAGCCAUCCCAUCUCCUCCAAACACUAACAGUUCACGUAUGAGUAGGUCAACCAUCCAGACCAUGUAUAUUCCUCCUGGAAGUGUUCAGGAUGUUCAUAUACCUGGAAGUGACAUUUCAGACUCGAAUGAGUCUGACGAAGACACAGUCUACCCUUCUCGUCAACGCUCAGAGUGUAACACAAUAUUAAUUCAUCGCUGUCAAGGUCAUCAUUCCUUUCUUUAGCUACUAAGUGGUCAAAAUGCCAUAGCGUUUAUUUUCAUUGGAGCUUCAUUACCGUUACCGGCAGGUGUCGAUAAGAUAUUCUGAGAAUAGAUGGAACAGUUAAUCGCUUUAGCAUAUGCAAAGAAUGGCCCUAAAACUUGAAUAAUAGUUAUCAAAGAAUCCGCCUUUUGCUAAACUCAUACGUUACUUGGUACCAUCGAAGAUCAAUCGGCUACGGCUAAGGUCAACCGCUAAUGGCUAUUUUAAGUACUGUCCAGAAAUAAGUUUAAUUACCUUGUUCACUAAAAUCCUAUUAAAGGGGUUUGGUCUAGUUAAUUUUGACGUCACUGAAACUAUUGAUUGACAAGCUCCUUUUCGUUCCGAUAGCAAGUAAAAUACUUUGGUUAUUGUCACGUGAGAUUAAAUGUAUCACACGAUAUCGUUAAACUAUUAAGAGGAAUUAAGGAAACACUAUUGAAUGGUCAACUACAAUUGGGGCCAAUCAGGGAGUAUAACAACUUACUAGUAUUUCGGCAUUUCGAGAAGCAGUAUGCUUCUGGGUAGGAUUCUGACAGUCUACCUGAUUAAGAUCUGAGAGUCAGCUUGCUUUCGUGUAAUAGUACAAAAUAAUUGACAAUUAAUAAAUAAAUAAUUGCUUACAAUAAACUUUGUUUCAUC